GCUUUCAGAGGACCAUGCACAGGGCUCAGGUUCUGGCACUGGCAGUAGAGUAUGAAGCAUCUGUUUUUACUGCAUUGACAGUCUCCAAGCUCUCUUAAGGACCCACCACUUCAGCCAAGCCACACAUCCAAGAGCUCCCUAAUUUCUCAAAUAGGGAUUCCUAAAGUGCCCAAGGCUUCAAUCACAUGAGACAGUACAGGUUAUCACCUUCAACCCAUGACAAAGACCUUUUACCCUUAAAAAUAAUGAUCAAUAAUUGUAAGCACCUCAAGCCACACUAGUGGCCAGGCCUCUCUGAAGAGGACCUCCAACAGCCAGUUCUACCCACAGAACACUCUAACUGCCCUAACAGCUGAACCCUGCCCCACCCUACAGAGUAAAAAGCCCAAUCUCUGGACUUCAAAUCCCACCAAUCUGUACCCUGAAAAGUGCCACCCCCUUCUCCAAGAAACUCUUCAGAAGCCCUGCCUUCUGCUCAGUUCCCAGCUGAUUCUCACCCAAGCAAAGAUAGUCACCCUCCUGUUUUUCCCCCUCCGAAUUCAUCUCUUGUGUAAGGUUUGUUGUGUGGUGUGACUCUGGUAUUCCUUGGCUCCUUACAGCCCAGAUACCUUCCCAUACAAGCUGUAAUGCUUAAAUUUUGUGCCAAAACACGGGAUAGUCUCUCCUAGUGCUUGUAUUCCUCCUCCAGGUCUAAGCUGACCUGGGUCCCUAUCUCUCAUCUCCAGUCCACCAGCAAAAAACUUACCUUCUGGCUCACUGACUGCUCAGCACCCCAUUUACCACAUCACUUAGCAUCUCCAAUGGGUGGCUCAGGCCAUCCUCACUCUCCAGGACCAAGUAGACUCACUGGCUGCCAUAAGUGCUACAAAUUUGUCGAGGAUUAACUUCACUAACAGCAGAAAGAUGUGGUCUUUGUCUCUUCCUCAGGGAGGAAUGUUUCUUCUAUGUCAACCAGUCAGGGUCAAAAGAUUUCUAACUAGACUUUUAAACAGCUGUUAUUUCAUGAUUACCAGCCCUUAGCUACAGAGUCAGCGAUCAGCAGCUCCCAACUAUUCUCUGAUGGUCAAGAUCAAGUUCACCCAAAGAACUUCCUGAUUCAGCAGGAAGUAAUCUAAUGACAAUAUUGCCCCCUUUCCUGUGGCCUGAUUGUUUAACAGUAAUAAAUAAAAAAGGAGGAAAUUUAAGCCCCUCAAGCCACAUAAGUGGCCAGGCCUCUCCUACCAAAUUCUAGAUUCAACCCACCAAAUGUUCUAACUACCCUAACAGCUAGACUCUUCCCCCUACCCUACAAAGUAAAAAGCCCAAUCUCUGGACAUGAAAUCCCACCAAUUUCCACCCUGGAAAGCUUCAUCCUGAAAAGUUCUACCCCUUCCCCAAGAAACUCUAUGUAAACCCUUGUCCUCUACUGAACAGAGGCAACUGCCCUCCUGGU